rnacentral:tRNA from 1 species
UAGCUCAGUCAGUUGAGCAUAGCACUAACAACGCUAAGGACACGGGUUCAAUUCCUGU